rnacentral:rRNA from 1 species
AUUGAACGCUGGCGGCAGGCCUAACACAUGCAAGUCGAGCGGAUGAGGGUAGCUUGCUAUCUGAUUCAGCGGCGGACGGGUGAGUAAUGCCUAGGAAUCUGCCUGGUAGUGGGGGACAACGUUUCGAAAGGAACGAUAAUAUCGCAUACGUCCUACGGGAGAAAGUGGGGGAUCUUCGGACCUCACGCUAUCAGAUGAGCCUAGGUACGAUUAGCUAGUUGGUGAGGUAAAGGCUCACCAAGGCGACGAUCGUUAACUGGUCUGAGAGGAUGAUCAGUCACACUGGAACUGAGACACGGUCCAGACUCCUACGGGAGGUAGCAGUGGGGAAUAUUGGACAAUGGGCGAAAGCCUGAUCCAGCCAUGCCGCGUGUGUGAAGAAGGUCUUCGGAUUGUAAAGCACUUUAAGUUGGGAGGAAGGGCAGUAAGUUAAUACCUUGCUGUUUUGACGUUACCAACAGAAUAAGCACCGGCUAACUUCGUGCCAGCCGCCGCGGUAACAC